CUGAAUAAGAUCAGCCUGGCGGCAGCAUUCAUUACCAAUUUUAGUGGGGCAGUUCAGCUUUUGGGAAGACCAACUACGAGAGAGUUACAGUAGUCCAUGCGAGACAUUACCAGAGCAUGAACAAGCUCCUUGGCAGCAUCUUGCGUGAAAAAUGAGCCCCGACGUGCGUUUCGCCAGGGUGCGCGUUUCGCCUGAAGAGCCACAGACCGGCGAAAUGCGCGUCGGAGCUCAUUUCAUCAUUCUGACCGUUCUCACCACUUUGACAAAUGGAGCAUUAUCUCACUGAGUUUCCAGCACAAGGGAUCUGCUGCACCUCGCUUAAACUAACAGGAAAGCGGUGAUUAGGGUCAUUUUUUGGACAGCACCUUCUCUUUUUGAGGCAGACAAGUAGCUAGCUACUGACCUACAGAUAGGUGCCCUCGAAGCACAGUCAGCC